rnacentral:rRNA from 1 species
GACGAACGCUGGCGGCGUGCUUAACACAUGCAAGUCGAACGGGCCUUGUCCCCUUUUUUUUUGGGGGUGGGGUUAGUGGCGAACGGGUGAGUAACACGUGAGUAACCUGCCCCUCACUUCUGGAUAACCGCUUGAAAGGGUGGCUAAUACGGGGUGUUCUGGCCUGCUCGCAUGGGUGGGUUUGGAAAGAUUCGACCGGUUUUGGUUGUUUUGGUGGGGGAUGGGCUCGCGGCCUAUCAGCUUGUUGGUGGGGUGAUGGCCUGCCAAGGCUUUGACGGGUAGCCGGCCUGAGAGGGUGGGCGGUCACACUGGGACUGAGACACGGCCCAGACUCCUACGGGAGGCAGCAGUGGGGAAUAUUGCACAAUGGGCGCAAGCCUGAUGCAGCGACGCCGCGUGAGGGAUGGAGGCCUUCGGGUUGUGAACCCCUUUCGCCAGUGAAGAAGGUCCUGCUCUUUGUGGUGGGGUUGACGGUAGCUGGGUUAAUGAAGCGCCGGCUAACUACGUG